UACGAAGGGGGCUAGCGUUGCUCGGAAUUACUGGGCGUAAAGCGCACGUAGGCGGUCUUUUAAGUCGGGGGUGAAAUCCUGGAGCUCAACUCCAGAACUGCCUUCGAUACUGGAAGACUUGAGUCCGGGAGAGGUGAGUGGAACUGCGAGUGUAGGGGUGAAAUUCGUAGAUAUUCGGAGGAACACCAGUGGCGAAGGCGGCUCACUGGCUCGGUACUGACGCUGAGGUGCGAAAGCGUGGGGAGCAAACAGG
rnacentral:rRNA from 1 species